rfam:Daphnia pulex DAPPTscaffold_136_Cont5525, whole genome shotgun sequence.
GCGAUGGUGGUAUAGUGGUUAGCAUAGUUGCCUUCCAAGCAGUUGACCCGAGUACGAUUCUCGGCUAUCGCA